GAUGAACGCUGGCGGCGUGCCUAAUACAUGCAAGUCGAGCGAACGGACGAGAAGCUUGCUUCUCUGAUGUUAGCGGCGGACGGGUGAGUAACACGUGGAUAACCUACCUAUAAGACUGGGAUAACUUCGGGAAACCGGAGCUAAUACCGGAUCAUAUUUUGUACCGCAUGGUUCAAAAGUGAAAGACGGUCUUGCCGUCACUUUUAGAUGAAUCCGCGCUGCAUUAGCUAGUUGGUAAGGUAACGGCUUACCAAGGCGACGAUGCAUAGCCGACCUGAGAGGGUGAUCGGCCACACUGGAACUGAGACACGGUCCAGACUCCUACGGGAGGCAGCAGUAGGGAAUAUUCCGCAAUGGGCGAAAGCCUGACGGAGCAACGCCGCGUGAGUGAUGAAGGUCUUCGGAUCGUAAAACUCUGUUAUUAGGGAAGAACAGAUGUGUAAGUAACUGUGCACAUCUUGACGGUACCUAAUCAGAAAGCCACGGCUAACUACGUG
rnacentral:rRNA from 1 species